rnacentral:rRNA from 1 species
AUACGGAGGAUCCGAGCGUUAUCCGGAUUUAUUGGGCUUAAAGGGAGCGUAGAUGGAUGUUUAAGUCAGUUGUGAAAGUUUGCGGCUCAACCGUAAAAUUGAAGUUGAUACUGGAUAUCUUGAGUGCAGUUGAGGCAGGGUGCAUUCGUGGUGUAGAGGGUAAAUGCUUAGAUAUCACGAAGAACUCGGAUUGCGAAGGCAGCCUGCUAAGCUGCAACUGACAUUGAGGCUCGAAAGUGUGGGUAUCAAACAGGAUUAGAUACCCUGGUAGUCCACACGGUAAACGAUGAAUACUCGCUGUUUGCGAUAUACUGCAAGCGGCCAAGCGAAAGCGUUAAGUAUUCCACCUGGGGAGUACGCCGGCAACGGUGAAACUCAAAGGAAUUGACGGGG